ACCUUGUUACGACUUCUCCUUCCUCUAAGUGUUAAGGUUCACAAAACUUCCCAUUUCGGGCACGAACGCGCCACAAAACGGUCCGAAUAAUUCACCGGAACACUCAAUCGGUAGGAGCGACGGGCGGUGUGUACAAAGGGCAGGGACGUAAUCGGCGCAAGCUGCUGACUUGCGCCUACUAGGCAUUCCUCGUUGAAGAUUAAUAAUUGCAAUAAUCUAUCCCCAUCACGAUGCAUACUCACAAGAUUACCUAGACCUAUCGGCCAAGGUUAUAAACUCGUUGGAUGCAUCAGUGUAGCGCGCGUGCAGCCCAGAACAUCUAAGGGCAUCACAGACCUGUUAUUGCCUCAAACUUCCUUGCGUUAGACACGCAAAGUCCCUCUAAGAAGUGAUACAAGAACACGAAGUUCCUGAUCCUAUUUAGC
rnacentral:rRNA from 1 species